AGGACGAACGCUGGCGGCGUGCCUAACACAUGCAAGUCGAACGGGGUCCAUCCGGUGGCAACACCGGAGAAGACCCAGUGGCGAACGGGUGCGGAACACGUGAGCAACCUGUCCCGAAGACCGGGAUAACACCGGGAAACCGGUGCUAAUACCGGAUACCCCACCGGAUCGCAUGGUCUGGUGAGGAAAUGGAUUCCGCUUCGGGAGGGGCUCGCGGCCUAUCAGCUAGUUGGUGAGGUAACGGCUCACCAAGGCGACGACGGGUAGCUGGUCUGAGAGGACGAUCAGCCACACUGGGACUGAGACACGGCCCAGACUCCUACGGGAGGCAGC
rnacentral:rRNA from 1 species